rnacentral:rRNA from 1 species
UACGGGGGGAGCAAGCGUUGUUCGGAUUUACUGGGCGUAAAGGGCGCGUAGGCGGCCACUGCAAGUCGGUUGUGAAAUCUCCGGGCUUAACCCGGAAAGGUCAAUCGAUACUGCAGGGCUAGAGUGCAGAAGGGGCAACUGGAAUUCUCGGUGUAGCGGUGAAAUGCGUAGAUAUCGGGAGGAACACCUGCGGCGAAGGCGGGUUGCUGGGCUGACACUGACGCUGAAGCGCGAAAGCUAGGGGAGCGAACGGG